ACUGCUUGUGGGAAUGCAAAAUGGUACAACUACUUUUGAAGACAGUUUGGCAGUUUCUUAAAAACUAAACAUACUUUUUACCAUCUGAUCCAGUAAUCACACUCCUUACUAUCUACCCAUUGGAGUUGAAAACUCCACAGAAAAACCUGCACAGGGAUGUUUACAGCAGCUUUAUUCAUAAUUGCCAAAACUUGGGAGCAAACAAGAUGUCCUUCAAUAGGUGGAUGGAUACAUAAACUGUGGCACAUCUAGACAAUGGAAUGUUAUUCAGCACUAAAAAGAAAUGAACUAUCAGGUCAUGAAAAGACCCAGAAGAACCUUAAGUGCACAUCACUAAGUGAAAUAAGCCAUUCUGAAAAGGCUAUAGAUGGUGUGCAACUAUAUGACAUUCUGGAAAAGGUAAAAUUUGGCAACAGGAAAAAGAUUGGUGGUUGCCAGGAGUUGGAGGUAGGAGAGGAAUCAAAAGGUGGAACACAAAGGGCUUUUAGGGCUUUUAAACACUCUGUAUGAUAUCAUAAUGAUGGAACCUGUCAAUAUAUAUUUAUCUAGACCCAUAGACUGACUGUACAACACCAAGAGUAAAGUCUAAUGUGAACUUUAGGUGAUUAUAACGCGUCAAUGUACGUUCGGCAAUGUAAUAAAGGUACCACCCUAGGAUGAAAACAGCCUGGGGAAGCUGAGGAAUUUUUUUAAACAAAGGGGAAUAUGCAUCUUCUGACCUGAACAGAAUAUUAUACAGCAAAAGAAGACCCUUGAAUCCAGGAUACUUUCUUGAAAGUCAGAAGCCAGAAGGCGAAGAAGCUACGGAGGUGGGCCCACAGGACAGCAGUGAGCAGGAAGGAGGAGAGAUAAGAAUGGGUCAGGAAGGGCCAAAGGAACACAUCUACACACUCCCUUGUGACAGAAAUCGUUUUCGGUGAUACAUACUUUUGUUUGAAGAGCAAAUAAAGUGAGCGAUAACGUCA